rnacentral:rRNA from 1 species
AGCAGCCGCGGUAAUUCCAGCUCCAAUAGCGUAUAUUAAAGUUGUUGCAGUUAAAAAGCUCGUAGUUGAAUUUCGGGAUCAAUUCGUCGGUCGUGCUUUCGGGUACGUACUGGUGUUUAUUGGUUUCUCCCUUCUGACGAACCAUGAUGUCAUUAAUUUGGUGUUAUGGGGAGUUAGGACUGUUACUUUGAAAAAAUUAGAGUGUUUAAAGCAGGCAUUAGCUUGAAUACAUUAGCAUGGAAUAAUGAAAUAGGACGUUCGAUCCUAUUUUGUUGGCUUCUAGGAUCAACGUAAUGAUUAAUAGGGAUGGUUGGGGGCAUUAGUAUUCAAUUGUCAGAGGUGAAAUUCUUGGAUUUAUUGAAGACUAACUACUGCGAAAGCAUUUGCCAAGGAUGUUUUCAUUAAUCAAGAACGAAAGUUAGGGGAUCGAAGACGAUCAGAUACCGUCGUAGUCUUAACCAUAAACUAUGCCGACUAGGGAUCGGAUGAUGUUAAUUAUUUAAUGACUCAUUCGGCGCCU